rnacentral:rRNA from 1 species
CCUACGGGUGGCAGCAGUGAGGAAUAUUGGUCAAUGGACGAGAGUCUGAACCAGCCAAGUAGCGUGAAGGAUGACUGCCCUAUGGGUUGUAAACUUCUUUUAUAUGGGAAUAAAACGUUCCACGUGUGGGAUUUUGUAUGUACCAUAUGAAUAAGGAUCGGCUAACUCCGUGCCAGCAGCCGCGGUAAUACGGAGGAUCCGAGCGUUAUCCGGAUUUAUUGGGUUUAAAGGGAGCGUAGGUGGAUUGUUAAGUCAGUUGUGAAAGUUUGCGGCUAAACCGUAAAAUUGCAGUUGAAACUGGCAGUCUUGAGUACAGUAGAGGUGGGCGGAAUUCGUGGUGGAGCGGUGAAAUGCUUAGAUAUCACGAAGAACUCCGAUUGCGAAGGCAGUUCACUGGACUGCAACUGACACUGAGGCUCGAAAGUGUGGGUAUCAAACAGGAUUAGAUACCCUUGUAGUC